UUGACCUCAAAUCAGGUAGGACUACCCGCUGAACUUAAGCAUAUCAAUAAGCGGAGGAAAAGAAACUAACAAGGAUUCCCCUAGUAACUGCGAGUGAAGCGGGACAAGCUCAAAUUUAAAAUCUGGCAGAUGUUUGUCUGUCCGAGUUGUAACCUAGAGAAGUGUAACCUGUGCUGGACCGUGUACAAGUCUCCUGGAAUGGAGCAUCAUAGAGGGUGAGAAUCCCGUCUUUGACAUGGACUACCAGUGCACUGUGGUUGCACACUCAACGAGUCGAGUUGUUUGGGAAUGCAGCUCUAAAUGGGUGGUAAAUUCCAUCUAAAGCUAAAUAUUGGCGAGAGACCGAUAGCGAACAAGUACCGUGAGGGAAAGAUGAAAAGAACUUUGGAAAGAGAGUUAAACAGUAUGUGAAAUUGUUGAAAGGGAAACGCUUGAAGUCAGCUGCAUUAGCUGGGGAUCAAGCCAGCUUUUUUGCUGGGUGUACUUCCUGGUUGAUGGGCCAACAUCAGUUUUGACCAUCAGAGAAAGGCUAAGGGAAUGUGGCACCUUUAUAGGUGUGUUAUAGCCCUUGGUUG
rnacentral:rRNA from 1 species